rnacentral:lncRNA from 1 species
GAAAGUUCCAUGUCAUUUACCCGCGUGAUUUUAUUUGCGAUGUUUACUAUGUCAAAUUUGAAAUCUGUGCGCAUAUUUAUUUGGAUAUCAUUGAAACUUUGACUUUUGUUGGAAUCUUGAUCAGUUUUUUGUUUGUUUUGUUUAUUUUAUUGAAGAGAAAAUUGCAUCUAUAGACUUUCGGCGCACUGUAGAUGAAAUUUUACUACAAAUUAUAUGUCUCAGUGCAAAGUCUCGUUUUGUUGAGUUAGCAUUACAUUUCAUCUACAAGCCAUAACGUAAUUUGAGGCACCUUUGCUGUUUUAGUAAGAACUAAGAAUUAAAUGGACACAAGAACUAAGAAAAUGAACCUGGAAGAGGAAGAAAAUUACGAAUCGAUCAAACGACAACGAGCGAACGCAAAGCGUCGAGUGAGUGGAAGCAGACGCAGCCGGCCCCAGCGGGCGCUCAGCUGGCGCCGACGGAGGGAGGCCCGGCCCAGGGUAUAUUGAGUGAAGCCCGGCCGGCGCUCAGUGUGCCGCCAGCGGGCCGCAGGGUUGGAUCUACUCUGGGACGGCCGCCAACUGGACUGGCAGUAUGCCGGAGCCGCUCAGUAUCAGUGUGCUGGGCGCGGGCGUGGUCGGCCUGCACGUGGCCGUGCGACUGCAGACGGACUUUCCGGCGGCGCGGGUCACCAUAAUCGCCGCCGGCCAGGGCGCCCAGACGACCAGCAUCGGCGCCGCCGGCAUCUUCAGGCCGGGCGUCUUCAACGCCGCCACUCCCACACUCACACGGUGGGUGAUUCACCGGGGAAAUCUCUUAUGAAACAAUUAGGAAGUUCUCCAAUGCCUAUCCAUCAACACGUGUUGGGCGGGGAAAAGCCGUCUGUACCGAUUCAUUAACACGUGUUUCGCCGGGAAGGCGAAGUCUGUACCUAUCCAUUAACCCUAUUAGUGGCAGGCUCCUGGCUACCCCCUAUUAGUGGCAGGGGGGGGGGCUGUUUACGACCCCCCCUUGAUAUCUCGAGAUCUAACGGGCCGAUUUUCAAAAUUCAAACGGCAUUCGAUUUCCCUCAACGUGAUCUACAUUUCUAAAAAAUAAAAAUUAAAAAAUGUCAAUAGGGGGGGUAGAGGGGGGUAAAAACGGGCAAAUUGCAGAUACAUUUUAGACUGUUUAUCACGGCCAGGUUUCUGAACCAAUCUUAACGCAACUUUUGCCGAUCGAUAGAGAAUGAAUCAGGAAUUCACAUGGAUCCUAAAAAUAUGCAUUUUCAAAAAUCAUAGGCGGAUACAGAUCAUUGAGAUUGGGGGUACACAAAAAGUAUAGUAAAAAAGGUUUUUGUUGGUGCUGUUUCUAAAAAGGGUGGUAAUGGUCUUGUUAUGUUAUAAUUUUCUUAUGAGAGAACGACUAAAAUUGUAUUGGUAAUGCAUAGGCGGUGUCAGGGCACCUAUGUUGGGAGGUAAAACAUAACCCCCCUUUUUGGACGCCUGGAUCCGCCUAUUAUUGCAAAAACGUGUCAAAAGAGGAUGCACAAUAACUGUAUAUGUUAUCACAUGAUACCUUUUAUUCACUGUUCGUAAAACUGGUGCAGCAUCGUGAUCUUCGCCCAAAUGACUCGCUUCACGAAUAGGACCCCCCAAUUUCCAGUGCUCUGGAGCCGCCCCUGGUAAAGUUAUGAACUUGAAAUUUUCAGGGAAUGUGCCCAAUUUAGUUUUAGGAAAAGUCAGAAAAUUUCAGCAUCGUAGCUUCAGCGGUUUCGGAGAUAUUCCCGAAAAACCUGAGGGG